CGGCGACCUUCGCCUGGACAGCGGUAUCCUGCGGGCGACCAUGGGCCGAACGGCCGGGACUCCAAGCUUACCUCGGACACGAACGCCGCGCCAGUCUCCAAGCCAAGUCAAACGGUGUAAACUUUGCUGGAAGGAACCUUACUCAGAGGGCCAAUCACCUGCUUCUCUAGAGUUCUCAAGCUCUCCUGUGAGCACCAGGUUGAGCUGCAGAAAGCCAGAACCAGCUCAGAAACUGAGAAAUGGACAUGAAGAUGCCCAGGUCUGCAGAUGGUUUCCAUUCUGAAAAGUGAUAGUCCCAAGGGGGACUGGCAUGCAGUCAUUCAUUCAACAAUUGUGCUCCUACUCUGUGAAGUAUUGGGGAUACAGUGCUGAGCACAGACAGACCUAGUCUCUGUCCUUUGCACCUUUCAGUGAAGGAUAGGAGGUAGACAUUGAUGCAACAAGCACCCGAGUAAAUGUAAGACCAUGCAGUGAUAAAGGCCGUGGAGGAAGGGCCCAUGCAGGGGCAGAAAACAGAGGAAGGGGCUGGUGGAGCAGCUCCUCUAGCUCAAGGCUGAGUGGUAUAAACUGUAGCUACUGCAUGAUCUGAACGUGUCUUAAGGAGGGUAUCCCCAAAGCGGGCUCAUUGGGAGUUACUGUGGAGCGCUAGUUUAUUGUAAUUGCCAUAUGUUUAUAAGUAAUGGAAUCCUAGAAUUAGAAGGAACUUCGGUCACCUUUUAAUUUAAUAUUUAUCUUUCUCAAUCCAGGAAACAUCUCUACAGCAUCCCUAACUGGGGGUUGAUCCAUUCAUUUCCAGACACAGAGAACAGAGUCACAUUCUGCUGUUUCCAUAUGUACCAUUUUAGUAAGACUUCUUGGGGCACAAGGCAGGAAGUUGGGGACAAUAUAUUUGUCUGCACCAAGGCAGCCUGAGAAGAGAGAAGUGAAUACUCCUGGGGUUAUUCUAUAUUAUUCACUUAAUAUUCUAAGUGAGUCCUCUAGGGGUACCUGAGACAUGGAGUAUGAAAGUACACAUUCACAAAAGUACCAGCUUUAAAACUAGAUUAUCUCUACUAUUCAAAAACACCAAGGAAAGGCCACACAAUGGAGACAAAGUGCAUCUGAGAUCUAGCAAAUUUCCCUGUUGGCCACAUACUGAUAAUGAUGUAUUAAAAUCAAUUCUAUACUGUGGGGUACUUAUUUGACAUUAAUAGGUACCAUGGUGGUUUAACAUAGUUGCUGCCCAGAGAAAACGCCGCACACUCACCUACACUAAAAUGAAGUCUGAGUCAGCUGCCUCCCCUCCGCCAUCCCUUCCAAAGCCAAUGGUUGAAAGUCACAGAAGUCCCUCUGCUGCCACCUAGUGACGACAAUGUGAAUACAACUACACAGCCUCCUGGGAAAGAAGUUUUGAACCACGUUUGCUUCUAAAGGAAGCCUGUAAUUACCUCUGAGUGCUCUAUUUUGGCUACAAUUUAAAAACAUAUAUAUUUUAAAACUCUAUAAACUCUUAUGCAUAUCCCUUUUUAAGAAUCUGACCUGUAAUGGAUGUAGCCUCACUUUCAAGAACCUAAAAGCUAUGCCCCCAAUUCAGGGAGUAGAACAGACAGGCUUAAGAACAGUGCCUAAAAAUGCCACUAAAUUUAUCUUUAAAAUGCCUGUGGUUCCUUAGCACUUGAAUUCCGUUAUGCCCCUGGGUAUAGUCACCUGGAUGUUAGGGGCUGUCAAAAUUCAGCCCUCAGUUGGUGAUCAGUAGGUUUUCCCUUUAAGUGGUUUCUGAAAGGAUUUUUUUUAAAAAUCUUGAAAUUCUCAUGUCUGGAUGAUGUUUCCAGUUUUGUGGAAGAAUAAAAGAAAAGGGACAUGAAAUUCUGGCUCCCUGGGGGCAGUGGCUGUGUCUUAUUAAUCUCUGUGCCCAUUGUACCAACACCGGUCAGUCACAGCAUGUACUCAACCAAUGCUGAUGAAUGCAGAGGGGCGAGGGGCUGGCACGCUCUUGACCCCUUAUAGGGGCUGCGUCGAUGGCCAGGGUUCAAUGGGAACUUUCUGGUACAGUCUUGCUCUGCCAAUCUUUCAAAUUAAGUGCAGCACAAUUGGAAGCCUCACAUUCUCAUAGACGGGUUGAGGAGGGCAUUAGGGGCAGAAAGGCUCACAUAAGGCCUGAGCGUGAGGUUUCCUGCCCAGCACUGCUGUGCCAUUGCAGCCCACCUUCUUCUCACCUUUCCUUCCACACCACGGCGCGGCAGGUGCAGAAACCGUGCUGGGAUUGAGGCCCUAGAGGCUGACUACAGGUCUUGGGGGCAAAACAUCUGGACACACAGCUGAAGAUGAGCCAAGUAUAUUAGUCAGGGUUCUCUAGAGAAACAGAACCAACAAGAUAGAGAGAUGCAGAGAGACAGAGGGACAGACAGACAGAUUUAAGUAACUGACCCAUAAAAUCUUGGAGGCUUGGCAAGUCCAAAAUCUGCAAGAUGGAAGUGGGCUGGCACAUUGGAGACUCAAGGAAGAGUUGCACGUUGAGUUCAAAGGCCGGCUGCUGGCAGAAUUCCUUUCUGCUCAGGUGAAGUCGGUCUCUGUUCUAUUAAGACCUUCAACUGAUUGGAUGAGGUCCACCCAUAUUAUGAAGGGUCAUUUGCUUUACUCAACAUCUACUCAUCUAAAUAUUAAUCUCAUUGAAAAAAAACCCCAGAAACAUCCAGAAUAGCAUUUGACCAAAUGUUUGGACAAUGCAGCCUAGCCACAUUAACACACAAAAUUAACUGUCACAGCAAGACACCAGGGAAGCAUUGGAAGAUGUUAGCGGCUGUCAUUGAAAUGGGUGCCGUCAGGUGGACGGCAGCCAUCCAUCGGGCAAGAGCGGGGCAGCUGGAAGGGCCCUCCCCUCCCGUUUGCUUUCUGCUCUUCACAGCUCACGGAUAGAGGAAUUUUCUCAGCACAUUUCCCAGGAGGAGUUUGGCACCACCAUUUCUUGAAAACAGAUGUCUGCAGGGAUGUGUGUGUGCCUGUGAAUAUGAAGUCCAGAGCCUGGGACUGAGAACAGCAAGGGGAACAGGUGGCCACAGGGGAGUUGCCAGAUUGCUGACUUAAGAUGUGCUCCCAGGGCUGCACUGGUGUCGGUCGUGAGAGCGAUCACGGUUUGUGCAACGUCUGAACUUUCUAUCAACUUAUGGUUUAAUCAAUUUGCUGUUUACUCCAGCUAUUUGCAACCUCUCCUCAGUUACUUGGUGUUCAGCAGUGUAAUAUAUCUUCAUGUGUGAAUAUAAAUAUACUAUUUAGUGGAAACUAAAAGGAAUUGUGGAGGAAGAAUUUUUUUGGAUAAUUUUAUGUUUUCAUAAUGUAAAAAUUAAAGAUAUUUGAAGAGUUGAGUAUGUCAGUUUUGGGGAUGCAAGAGAAUGACUUCGGGACUACCAUAAUAUUUAAAAUCAUCACUACUCUUUCUUUCCACCUAAGUCUCAUAGCAAAAGAGGAAAUUUACUUCAGUCUCUUUCUGUAGCAGAACAUUAUCGUGCUGUAUUCCUGUGUUCACUUAUCUGCGCUGGAUUGUGAGUCCUUACAGAGAGAAAUUGUUAUGUGCUAUGUUCCCAACACCUGCACAUUAUAGGUGGUCACUAAGUGCUUGAUGAAUAAAUGAAUGAGGGAAUAAUAUUGUUUAUUAUUUUUUGCUGUUAUUUAUAAUUGGGAGUGGGUAGGAUUUGGAUUAUGAAGACUCUGGGAAGCCUCAUAAGAACCUCAGACUCACUGGGCACGGUGGCUCACACCUGUAAUCCCAGCACUUUGGGAGGCCGAGGCAGGCGGAUCACGAGGUCGGGAGAUCGAGACCAUCCUGGCUAACACGGUGAAACCCGGUCUCCACUAAAAAUACAAAAAACUAGCCAGGUGUGGUGGCGGGCGCCUGUAGUCCCAGCUACUCCAGAGGCUGAGGCAGGAGAAUGGCCGUGAACCCAGGAGGCGGAGGUUGCAAUGAGCCGAGAUCGCACCACUGCACUCCAGCCUGGGCGACAGAGCAAGACUCCAUCUCAAAAAGAAAAACCUCAGACCAGACUCAACGUGUCCAAAAAAGAGCUCACCUUGUACCCCUAGAUCCUGAAGCGGCUUCCAGUAGCUCAACCUCCUCCCAUCCAGUUCCAUCUCUGCCAGGGAUCUUUUAAAAAUGCAAAUCUCAUUAUGUCUCUUUCCUGCCUCAAACCUCCCAGUGGUUCUCCAGUCUGUCAGGAGAGGGUAUAGACUGUGGCCUGGCCCGGGAAGUUCUUUGAGGUCAACCCCUGCCUACUCAUCUUGCUAACUCUUAUGGCUCUCUGACACUAGGCUUUUGCUCCAAUCAUAUAAGCAACUGUAUUUCCAUAAAAUUGCAAUGUUCUUCCCUACCUCCUCACUUAACUAAUUUUCACUUUACUGAUCAUUUCUUAUUUUACUAUCAGCGUCUCUUUCUCCUUAUUCUUCAGGGAACAUUUCUCUCCACCAUCCUGUGCCACACUGUGGGGGUGUCAGUAACACCCUCUGUCCUCUCCUGGCCAAAGGAAAGGGGUGUCAUUCAGCCCAGGCCCCUGGAUCCUCAUCUUGGGAUUUGGAAAUGUGACCGAAGUGACAUAAAAAAAAGACAUGAAGUGCGAGGAGCUCAUUCAGUCAGCUCUGCAGCUCCAGCUGGGUUACCUGUGAGUCCUUGCUAGCCAGAUCCCUUGAUUUGCCGUGACUCCUGCCUUUGCCAAGUCUGUCUUCAUAGAUUCUUUCAAAUGUGGUUCCAUCUUGCCUGAGUUCGUCAGAGCCAGAUUCUGUGCUGUAAUAAAAAACCCCAAAUCAACUCACCUCUCACCCUCCACAAUGCAGCUUCUGGAAGAUUCCAGAUGCCCCAGCCUGACUGAGAAUUCUCUCUCCUCUGCUCUCAAAGUCCCUUUGGGUGCUUCUACCAAAGCACUGACAGCGUGAUUCUGAUUUGAUCGCUGGUGUCUGAGAGCUGUGAACGUCUUGAUGGUUUUGGCGCCCAGCACCAUUCCUGCCUCAUAAUUGGCACGUGAUAAAGGCUUGUCGCAUUCCCUCAUUCAAAAUAAACAUAGAAGACAAUCCAGAGAUUGCAGCUUCACAGAAAUCACAGAAGGAAAUUUAUAUUUAUAGAGACGGCAUAUAAAAUUUUAAAACAAUUUUAAUGAAAAUCUUGAAAAUAGACAUUCUCUUCUUUAAACAACAUAAACUGAACAAACUCAGUCUGUUUUGGUGCCUCUGUGAGUACCCUCGGUUGCUCUGGGCUGCUGUGCGAUGCUGACCGGGACUUCCUCAGAGGCCUCAUCUUCUGCAUCCAGUGGACUUGCAAGCCACUUUACACUUCCUGGGUGAUAAGGUUUGGAUUUGUGUCCCCGCCCAAAUCUCACGUGGAAUGUCAUUCCUAAUGUUGGAAGAGGGGCCUGGUGGGAGGUGAUUGGAUCAUGGGGGCAGAAUUCCCUCUUGCAGUUCUCUUGGUAGUGAGUUCUCACAAGAUCUGGUUGUUUAAAAGUAUGUAGCACCUCCUGCUUUCGCUGUCUUCCUCCUGCUCCCGCCAUGUAAGACGUGGCCUCCUUUCCCUUCGCCUUCCGCCAUGAUUGAAAGUCUUCAGAGGCCUCCCCAG
rnacentral:lncRNA from 10 species